rnacentral:misc_RNA from 1 species
GAAACCAUUCAUAUAUUAUAAGACUUGAAUCAGUAAAGCCAAAGAUCUGAACUAAAGCUAGCACAUUAGCACUAAAUGCCACCACAUUGAUAAUUAUACACCCAUUUCAAACCAACAUCAAACAGUGCCAGCAAAGUGUAAACAAGAAUUAGCAAAUGCGGAGAUAUGAAACCAAACAGCAGUGAAGCCACCAAAUUUGCAGGGUGGGGGAACAAAUUUUGCUAGUCAAGCUUAAAAAAGCUUGACCUGUGAAAUUCCAACCAAAACCAACUGCAAGCACCAAAUUAUUUGAAUAUCAUUUAUUAAUGACAAGAUGAGGCAACUAUCUAACAUGUGAAUUCACAGGAAAAUUACUUGAAUACAUCUUCCUUGUUUUUAGGGGUACAAUCAAGCCAAGACAAGUCAAUACCGAGUUAAAUAACCAGCUCGAUUCGACUAAAAACUCAAGACUCAAAACUCGACUCAAUUGGGCUUUAUUUUUCCAUACUCAAGCUCGAUUCAAUUACAUAUUUGAGCUCAGCUCCAGCUCACCUAUACUCAAUUCUCAUUGUAAAUUUAAAUAAAAAUAUUAUUAAUUUCAAAUUAACACAAAUAAGCCAAUGUUCAAGCUCUAUUUUUAUCAUAAAUAUUUAGGUGAACUGGCA